rnacentral:rRNA from 1 species
GAGGAAUAUUGGUCAAUGGGCGCAAGCCUGAACCAGCCAUCCCGCGUGAAGGAUGAAUGUCUUAUGGAUUGUAAACUUCUUUUCUGUGCCAAGGAUAUGCCUUACGUGUAGGGUAUUGACGGUAGCACAGGAAUAAGCACCGGCUAACUCCGUGCCAGCAGCCGCGGUAAUACGGAGGGUGCAAGCGUUAUCCGGAUUUAUUGGGUUUAAAGGGUGCGUAGGUGGAAUGAUAAGUCAGUGGUGAAAUCCUGCAGCUUAACUGUAGAACUGCCAUUGAUACUGUUGUUCUUGAGUGUAGUUGAGGUAGGCGGAAUGAGUAGUGUAGCGGUGAAAUGCUUAGAUAUUACUCAGAACACCGAUUGCGAAGGCAGCUUACUAAACUAUUACUGACACUGAUGCACGAAAGCGUGGGGAUCGAAC